UUUGUUAGUGUUCAUAUUUAUUAAAGAAACGUAUUUAUGAAUACUUACCACGCUGCACCUUGGUCCUCUUCUCCUUCUCCAGACGACGUUCGUUACACAUAGACACUACUGAAUGCAAGUGCAACACACAAAAAUAAAAAUGUAAAUGCAAUAACAAGGAGGUGCGUUGCAAAUAGGCUGACACUUUUCGUUAAAUUCCCCUGACGCAAAUAUAGCAACCAUAUUUCGCUAAGUUCCCCUGACGUGAAGAAAGCUACCUUGUUUUUAUAGUUAUUGCCCGUAAUGGGUAUACUGGGGUAAAAUAUAGACUUUUAACAGCUACCACCCGCAUGGGUUUCCUUAGGUAACGUGUCAUCUCUUAAAUUCGUAGGCAUUUUGUUAGUUACCACGCGCUAUGGUUUUCAUUAGGUAAAAUGCAACAUUUAUGAAUAUCAAAUAACCAGGCCUUGAAUCUUUUUUUAAAUCUUUUUUUUCUCCCCAAUUUUGUGGUAUCCAAUUGGUAGUUACAGUCUUGUCUCUGUAAAUGCUUUAGGUCAGAUGAGGGUCUUCUGAGGCUGGUGCCAGUGGUCAAAGCCUCUAGAACAGUUAUAUGAGUGCUUGAAUAACAAUGAUCCAAUAGCUAUUUCCCUGUUGUAUACCGCAUAAUAAAUCUUGUUUCAUUUUCUUUUUUAACUUCCACAAGUUUUCCUCAUUCUUGAGCUCUAGUUCAAGUUAUUGUGAUAUAGUUUCACCGUGUGUAAUUAUUCUUAUUUCAUUCUCAGGCUCAGUCAAUGUAACCUCACAGAAAGAAGCUGUGAAAUGUUGGCCUCAGUUCUCAGUGCAAACUCCUCACACCCGAAGGAGCUGGACAUGAGCGACAACGACCUGCAGAAUUCAGGAGUGAAACUGCUUUCUAUUGGACUAGGGAUUUCACUUCUGUAAACUAGAGACAAUGAAGCUCUUGAGAUGUAACUUCACAGAAAGAUGCUGUGAAGAGCUGGCCUCAUUUCUCAGCUCAAACUCCUCACACCCGAGGCAGCUGGACCCAAGGAACAACGACCUGCAGGAUUCAGGAGGGAAGCUGCUCUCUGCUGAACUCGAGUCCACUCUGUAAACACUGAGCGAAGAUUGUCAUUCUGUAGAGUCGCAGAGGGAGGUUGUGCUUCGCUGGCCUCAGCUCUGAAGUCAAACCCCUCACAUAUGAGAGAGCUGGAUGUGAGCUACAAUAACCCGGGAGACUCUGGAAGGAAGUUGGUCUCUACUAAACUGGAGAAGCUAUUACCUGUGCACACUUUUAAGGGGAGGCUACCUGGUAGUAGUAAAGGGUUUUCAAGUAACCUUUAAGAAGCUACUGCCCAUAAACUGCAGUGUUGUUCCAAUUGUAUUGAGCACCUAUAUUUGCCAUAAGUCUUUGAUAUUUGUAUAUGGUGAUUAAGUUCCUCAUUUAUUAAUAAUAUAUUUAUUGGUCAUUACAGUAAUGAAAGUGACUAACAACAUCAUGAUGUGAAGGGAACUUUACAUAAAGCCUACAGGUAUAAUUCAUUAUGAUGCGGUUUUGUCAUAAGCAUGUAUGACCCCAUAUAAUGCUUAUAACCAUCUCAUAAUGAUUCUGACUAAAUACCAGACAUUUUGAGUCAAUGACUCAGCGAUUUUCGACACAGACAUAACUUAUUAUAAGCAUUUCAAUAAGACAUUAUGAAGGCUUUUAGAAGCUUAUAACAAGUAAUAAAGUACUAUACCUGGAGACUUUAAGUGUUACUGAUGCCUUUGAGGUCACACAGGGCCAAAACACAGCCAUAUUGUGAUCACUCGAAGAUAUUUAAGCACAGGCGCCUGCUGAGGGGAGGACGGCUCACAAUGGCUGGAACGGAGCAAAUGGAAUACACGGAAACCAUGUGUUUGACGUCGUCCAAUACCAUUCCACUGAUUCCGCUCCAGCCAUUACCACAAGCCCAUCUUUCCCAAUUAAGGUGCCACCAACCUCCUGUGAUUUUGAGGUGUGGCCACAGUUGCCGUGGAGACAAGGUCUGACCGGGUACUGUUACUGGGAGGCAAACUGGAGUUGGAUAUGGGCUCUUGUAGGGGUGACAUAUAAAAGACGUAGCGGGAGAGGAGAGGAUUUUGACACAAUGAUAAGUCAUGGAGUCUGCUGUGCUCCUAACUACAUAUUCUUUAUGGCACAACUAUACGCAGACUACCAUACGCAGAGUACGACUCUGUUGCAGGUGGGGGUAUCUGGACUGGUUGGUCAUUCUUCAGCGUCUCCACUGGCACACUUGUACACAUUCUGGCUCCACAUUCACUGAGCCUCUCUACUAAGGGUUUAGGGUUGAUAAAGUCAUUGACUCUUUUUUCAUGAUUGAAUGAUAUUCGAAGAAUCUCAAACUGUCACGUUCCUGACCUUGUUUUCCUUUUGUAUAGUUGUGUUUAGUGGGUCAGGACGUGAGCUGGGUGGG